GGAAGUUAAGAAACUGUUUCUUAAUUUUUAACUAAAAAAGUUAAAAACCGGUUAUUAAAUAAAGACUUUAAGAACCGAUUCUUAGUUUUUUUAGUUAAAAAUUAAGAAACAAUUUCUUAAGUUUU
rfam:Brassica napus, WGS project CCCW01000000 data, contig: 852